UACGAAGGGGGCUAGCGUUGCUCGGAAUCACUGGGCGUAAAGGGUGCGUAGGCGGGUCUUUAAGUCAGGGGUGAAAUCCUGGAGCUCAACUCCAGAACUGCCUUUGAUACUGAAGAUCUUGAGUUCGGGAGAGGUGAGUGGAACUGCGAGUGUAGAAGUGAAAUUCGUAGAUAUUCGCAAGAACACCAGUGGCGAAGGCGGCUCACUGGCCCGAUACUGACGCUGAGGCACGAAAGCGUGGGGAGCAAACAGG
rnacentral:rRNA from 1 species